CCCACCAGCGAGCCCCACUGCCUUGAGUACGUGGGCAGGGGCAGACCGGGCAGAGAUGAGGUGCUGCUGCAGGAGGAAGCGGGCGACUUCAACGAUGGAACUGAAGGAUCGUUUCAGGAUUCGUUCUGCCCAGUCACAGACACCAGUGUCAACCACAGCAAGACCAGACUGCAAAUGGGAGUAACUCGCCCCAGGAACCCACAAAUUCUCUUCACCGUCUGCCUGAGCCAUCGGACUACCACUUCAGCAGUGCUGGACCAAAUCACUCGGCCCGGAAUCCACCUUUUCCAGGUAAACCAGGACAGCACAUUUCCUUCUUUAUCAAGCGGUUAUGAGUAUUCCUAGUCACACAGCCCCAUAUCAGUGAGCCUUCCUUUAAGAACCAGAACCUCUGACGCCUUCAACUGUAGCACCAAACCUACCUUUUGUCUCCAGUACUGGGUCCUGAGGGGAGCUGAAGGUAGAGAUACAGCUUGUCGUUGUCUGAGAAUUUCUGUACAUCUUGCUGAGGUUGGGAGGAACAGAGGCAGGGGAAAAAAAUAAAGCCAAGAAGGACCCAAGGUAGGAUCUUCUGAUCCCUCCCCCCAAAUUGGGCUGCCUUAGAGACUGUCAGAGUGAAAAAGGACCUUAGAAAUGAUCUGGCGCUGGGUUCUCACUCUAUCUGAGAGGCACCUAGGUGAGCUACCAUGGUGAGAGGGGAGUGGAGGGGAUCGGCUUUGAUUUUAUUCCUACUGAGUGUCUAUACCACAGGUCACAGAGAGAUGAACUAAGAUGCUCAAGGUCAAACUGGCAGCAAGUUGCAAAGCCAAUUAUCUUCUGACGGGGAAGACAACACUGCUUGUCCCAAAGAAACCUUUCACUUAGGCAUACCCUCUUCCUCCUCCUCCCCGCUGCACCAACUCCAUCUCUCUACUGCCCUCUUCCCGAAAACACUCACCAGGAUCCCCUCGACUUUGUUCUGCACGGCCUUGCUGUGGAGGAGAGGAGAAAGCUGGAGGUCACACACAAGAUUUUCCCUGGUGUCUUACUGUUAGGGAGAGGAAGAGGGCUGAGAGGCCUGGCAGGUGCUCAGCAACGGCUACCAUGAUGGAGAAUCUCCCAGUGCUCACAGGCACUUGCUCAGGGAGAGGCAGUUCAUCUACAGAGGAAGUGAAGUGCUACGGUUCUGGAGCAAGACUUGGAGGUGGUGAGGAGUACUUACGAAAUGGUACCUCGGAGCCUCUGAAGAAGGGUGGUGGGUUCUCCCGCCUCAGCACUACCUGAGGGGGGCCGUCCCCCAGUCUUGGGGCUCUUAGCGUCGGGUUCAUCUUCUGCCAUCCCGGCAUGAGGGCUAGAGUUAAGAGGAGACACGACAGGAAGAUUCAACCUCCCUUCCCCUGGAGCCACCCCACCGCUCCCCAGGCGCUCCUCGUCUCCCUACCCAGAAACACAGAGAAACAGAAAGCCUCUGAAUGUCCUCAGUGGUCUUUUUUUCUCACCACUUGCCUUCUCCCCAAAUUAGAAAUGAUCCCAUUCCUUCUCCAGGCCCAUAUAUACCCAAAGAGAUCUCUGCCACCUCCAUUCUAUCUGCUCCCCCCCCCCCCCCUGCUUCCUGCAGUCUCCUGAGUGUGGAAAACUGUACAGGAAGAGAUAGGCGGGUUGGGAAUCCACGUUAGAAAUGUCCAUUUCUGCCUCUGGCCCCGUCCCGCCCUCACCCCCUUAAAAAACCAAAAACAAGAACCACCACAAAACAAAGUUCUCCGAUUCUCCUCACGCCUGAAUUUUCCUGGGAGGUCAGAAAGGAUACGAACAUACUCUGCCCUUGCAGGCUUGGAAAAAACUGGGCCCAAGUUCUCAUUACUUAAUCUCGCCACGGCUUCCCCCGCGGCUCCCCCUCCCCACGUCGCCGGUCCCUACGUCAUCUCCCUCAACCUCCCAUCCUGAGGCGCACCCCCACCUCCCUCCCUUCCCCCUGCAUUCAAUCCCGCGUUGCUGCAAGGUGGGAGGCUUCAGGGGGGCGAACUCCUGGGCUGGGCGUAGGAAACCCGGUUGGGGGAACGGGGUCCCGGAUUCGGGGCACGUGCACAUGGGCGAAGGAGCUGUUGAAAAUACGGCCACAAUCUUUUUCUGCUCUCCUCCCAACUCAUACUGCCCCCCUCCCUACCUUUGAACAGUCGCCUUCCAACACAAGCAACAAUAAAGAUCGCGAGUCAAAUGAAAGCAGUGGACCCUCUGCUAUGAAAAAUGCACGUGAGGACUAAGUUUUGCAUCUAGUUUCAAAGGUGCCCAUGAAGGUCAAAUAAGCCAAUGUAUUCAGAAGUACUUUAAAGGAGAAGGAAGUGUUGUAUAAAUAUGGGAAGGACUGUGCCAGAAGCUGGGGACAGAAAUCCCAGGCAGUGGAACCUGCUGACUCGGCGUCUACAGAAGCCACUUUCAUCUUGGAUGAAAGCUAUGGGGUGAAGUUUUUAUUGGAUAGUGAAAGGGACGAAGUUUGGUCUCGAGACUGCCGGCGGAAAGAUCCAUGGUGUUUCCAAACCGGAGUGAAAGGAAGAACAAAGCUGGGCUGCAGUAUGACAGAUGAUGGGCAUCUGUCCUCCUGGUUCCCGUGGGUAAGGGAGCACCCAGAGGGAGAUGCUCUGUGGCUGCCCUUACCCCCUUCUCCUCAAUAUCACUCAACUCCCCUGACUCUUUCCUACAUCUGGGUCCUCACCAUCAUGCCAUCAGCCAGGCAUGUGCCGCAGUCAGCCUUGUGGGUGCAGCUGUCCCCCAGGGGGUGGCCCAGGGGGCUGCUUCUUCGCCUGGGCUGGCCUCCCCAUCUGCUGGCUGUCUCUCCUCACCCUGCCUCCAGCCUGCGCCUCUGGCCUCCUCCUCCUCCUCCUCCUCAGACCCCAUCUCAUACCUCCUCUACUUUCCUGCUUUGGGGCUUGAAGUAGCCUUACAACCAAGAUCUGAAAGAGAAAGAAAGCCCAUCCUCACCCCCUUGUCAAAAGUUCUGGGGCACCUGGGGGGCUCAGUCGGUUAACCGUCUGACAUCGGCUCAGGUCACGAUCUUGCGGUUCGUGGGAUCGAGCCCCGCGUCGGGCCCUCUGCUCUCAGUGCUGAGCCCACCUCAGAUCUUCUGUCUCCCUUUCUCUCUCUGCCCCUCCCCCUUUUGCGUAUGUGCUCUUAAAGUAAAUAAAUAAACGUUUAAAAAAAAAGGUUCUUGAGUCAUCACCCCCAAAGAAACUGUGAUUUUGCUUAUUCUAGACAAGAACCGCAAAGCACCAUUCUGUCACAGACUGUAGGUUCUUCCAUGCUCUGAACCCUGACCUGGUGUUCUCUGUGGCUUCUGAAUGGCACCCCUAGCCCCUACCUACUGCUUCCUCCACAGCCUGCAAGGUGGUUGGGAAAAUUCAUUCAAAUCAGGGCUACAGGUGGAAGCAGCCCAGGGAGAGGGCUCAGGCUGGUCGUAGAAGGGUCCACGGCCCAUGGCGUCUUUGCUUCCAUGAUGGGCCACCCCAGUCAGCCUCAUUGUGGCUCAGGCAUCCCUAAUGUUGCUUCUCAGGAACUUAUGCAUUCUCUCCUCUCUCUGAUCUGCCCUUCCCUAGCCAACCAGAGUCCAACUGGAGCUGGCUGACUCCCAGAUUGAUAUGAAGGCAUAUGAGGAGGGCCACAAGCUUCCUGCCCUGGGCAGUCCCAGGGAGGGUGAGACCUCAGCCCAGGUCUGCUAAUCCCAGGAGGCCAUAUGCCUGACACUGGGCACCCCCACCCCAAAGGAGGGUGGGUGCGGCCCAUGUUCCUUCCUGCUGGUUCAAGCUCCAAAAAAGCACAGUAAAUAUUAGAGGAGGUAGGUUAUCAGGCCAGCAGCUGAACAGCCAGGCGGUUAUGUAACCGCUGCCCGAACUUUGGCUUUGCUCCAUCAUCUACAGACAGAAAGCAGAUUCUUGUGGCGUAGGGGGUAUGGAGCCCCUCUGCUGGUUCCCCCCUUUCCUUCCAGUCUCUGCCAGACUUCUUUGGGCCUCUUUAAACAGACCACUGUUUGGCAAGAUGGUGUAGUGAGGAAAGAAAGAUUAAACCCAGAGAAGGGAAAGGAGAGGAGAUGACGUCAGAGUCUCCAAGAAUAAUUUAACAUUUAAAAAAGA